GACGAACGCUGGCGGCGUGCUUAACACAUGCAAGUCGAGCGGUAAGGCCCUUUCGGGGGUACAUGAGCGGCGAACGGGUGAGUAACACGUGGGUGACCUGCCCUUAGCUCUGGGAUAAGCCUGGGAAACUGGGUCUAAUACCGGAUAUGACUCCAUAACGCAUGUUGUGGGGUGGAAAGCCUUGUGCGGCUAGGGAUGGGCCCGCGGCCUAUCAGCUUGUUGGUGGGGUGAUGGCCUACCAAGGCGACGACGGGUAGCCGGCCUGAGAGGGCGACCGGCCACACUGGGACUGAGACACGGCCCAGACUCCUACGGGAGGCAGCAGUGGGGAAUCUUGCGCAAUGGGCGAAAGCCUGACGCAGCGACGCCGCGUGGGGAUGACGGCCUC
rnacentral:rRNA from 1 species